UGUGUGUGUGUGUGUGUGUGUGUGUGUGUAUUGUUGGAAGUUUUCCUCAAAUGUUUGAUCUUCGACUGUCCAUAUUUAAGAAUGAGGCAUUAAGCAGAGGCAACUGGAAGCACAAUUUGGGGCUUGUUGAUCUAUGGGCUCCACUCUGUGGCGACUGAAGCAAGCAGGAUAUUUUACUGGGUACACCCAAAUAUCAGAAUCUGUAAAUCUCACUGAAGGGACCAUCUAGUUUCUCCAGAGAAUUCUCCAAUCUGUCUGGGGGAUAUCUGCAUGGCCCCUGCUAUAGAGGUUAUAGCAGCAGGGUGGGGAGAGAGGGUUGUGGAGCCACCACUUGGUACACAUGUUUUCACCCAGUCCCUUGUUUUCAGCUCAGUGCUCACUCCAUCUUCAGCUGUGCCUGGUGUCCCUGAGUUGGUGCUUCUGAGAUUCAAUUUCCCCAGAGAGGAAACCCUCUACUGUGCUACGGGAGUUGGUGCCCAGCUAAAAAAGAUCUCUGCCAUCCUGAGAUCAUCACUCCUCGCCUCCUCUGGAAACUCUCUGAGAGCCAGAGAAUCGUCUCUUUUUGUAAGAGGCCUGCACAGGCACAAGGUCAUACUUGGGCACUUUUUGGCUUUGUGAAAAUCUCUCAGAUUGCACUGCACAGUAUACAAAUGAUAAACCAGACAACCACAUUCGUUCUUUGGAUUACAUUUUCUCCUGAGAUAUCAGACGCAUUUCACCAGGGCCACAGAAAGAGAAAUGAAGACCAAGAUACCGAGACAAAUGCCAACAACCUGGUUUGACUGCCCUUGUCUAGAAAGUGACAGUGACAGUAACAGUGCCAGCCUCUCAGGGUUGCUGGAAGAUUAAAUGAGAUGCCAUGUGCAGUAUGCCAGACAGACGGCAGGUAGGUGCCCACCCAGGUUAGUAUUUCUUCCUCCUUUGUCUUUUCUCAACUGUCUUGAUAUGGGGUGUACAUUCGGAAGCUUAAGAGAUUCCUGCUGGAGGGUGGAGUCUGUGGUGGUGGAGUCUCUGCAUCCUGGGGCAACCUGGCCCCCUCCAGUCUGCACUUCUCACCCUCCUCUUCCGCUGCCUGGACUGGGCCGUGUUUGUUUCCCCAACUCGAAGGUGACCUUCUGGACGGAGGUCAUCUUAGGCAUCCUCAAAACCUGAGCACUGCCCCUGGCACAGAGUGGGUGCAGAGACUGAGUGUUUGGAGACAAAAUGAAGAACUGAAUGGGAAGGACUUGAGGACCCAAACUUUAGAGUCUAGCAGGCGUCAGGUCAGAGCCCAGCUUCAUCACUUGCUCACCAUAUGACCUUGAGCAAGAUCGUUAAUUUCCCUGAGCCUCAGUUUUUUUGCCUAAAAAUAGCAGCAAUAAUAGCUACCUCCUAGGGUUGUUUUGGGGACUAGAGAUGAUGUCAGUGGCUUCGGCCUGACGCGUAGUAGGAGCUCAGGUAGUGCAAGUCAUGAUUAGCUGCUAUUACAGGACUAUUUACUUCUGCCCCCAAAGCCAAAUCUUGCCCCAAGAACUCUUGGUCUUUUUUUUUUCUUUCUUUUUUGAGAUGGAGUCUCACACUGUUGCCCAGG